CAGCGCCCUCCGUUGCCUCAGGCCCAGCACGGCCAGGCCGGCCUUGUUCGCCACUGCCACAGGCAUCCGCGCCCGGAAGUCCCGCCUUCCCCCACCUCUCUUCGCUUCCGUUUUUGGCGCAAUGCACCACGGGAGGACCCAAAGUGGCCAGACUGGGAGACAAAGUUUAUAAAUAAAUAAAU